AGAAAAUGUCACCUGCCUUAUCACCUCCUCUUCCCUCAGUCCCAAUAUCACUGGGUCAAAAUAACAGGAAACGGAGGUCUCACCUAAGUCUCCUCCUCCAAUAGAUAGGAAAAAGGACAGAGGAUAUGCUAUAGCCAUCAGUGUGUUAGAUAUGAGUUCUAAAUUUCUCUUUAAAGAAUCAGUAUGUCAGUAUGUUCAAUUCUUUGCCUUCUACUUGUAAACUUAACUUCCUCAUAAAGCAACCUUUUUCGAUUACCUGCUCCAUCCUGACUCAUUCCGAUUUCCUGCUCUGCCAUAACCAUUUUUCCCGCCAAACCACUCACCCUGUCACUCUCUUUAAAUUAGCCAGUUGGAGUUAGUUUGGCCUGUGUGGUCUAACCCUAGCCAAUAGGGGAAUGACACAGCAGCAGGGGCCAUGUGCAUCAGGGAUAAGAACCCUUUCCC
rnacentral:lncRNA from 10 species